rnacentral:misc_RNA from 1 species
GGAAAAUCUUAUAGGCCUUAAGUAGGCAGCUUAUGAACGGAUCAGAUAGCUGGAAGGUUACUCACCUUGAUCAUAAUUAAUGUGUGUAUCAUUUAAAUUGCUACCCAUCCAUGAUAAUACCAAAUCAACAAGAAGAUUACAAAGGCGGGAACCAAAUGCGGGAACCAAAUGACAGAUUUAUUUCCACUUGCGUGUUUUUACAUUACAUGGAGCAACUUACUAUACCAUAAUACCAGAUAGCUACAGAAUGACCAAAAUUGAAAGGAAAGAAUAUUUAUGGAAAACUAAGCCAGGAAAAAGAUGAAGUUCCAAGAUGCCACUUGAUUCAUUAUACUAAAAGUUUAAGGAUGCUUUAUGUGAUGACUGUAGGCUUCUCCCUACCUGUGAAGUCCUUCAACUUUGAUACAGACAAUGCCACAUCUAUCAGUGGUUUCAAGGCUGUUUGGGCAUCCAUCUCAUGUUUAGAGGCAACUGGUUCAAACUGUUCGAUGUACAUUCGAACAGUUGCACCUGCAGAUCCAGUUCCAGAUAACCGAAAUAUUAUCCUUGAUCCAUCAGUAAAAACAAAUCGAACCCCUUGCUUUGUUACCACGCUUCCAUCCACGGGAUCAGUGUACUUGAAGUCAUCAGCAUACUGAAGGGCAUAACUGCCUGCACCCUCAAAUUUCAUGAUGGUCAAACAUUUCAGAGAAGAAACGAGAUUAAAUGAUGUAUUAAGCUUACCAUAUUUUAUCUCCUGGUUUGCUUACACACAAGCUUACCAUAUUUAUCUCCUGGUUUGCUUUUAGAGACCAAAUCUCUAAGGUAUUCCAUCAUUUUAUUUGCUCCUUCAGACUCACAUUCUUCAUAAUCAUAUCUAGAAAAGAAAUUUCUUCCAAAUGUUGCCCAGUGCUCUUUCACAACAUCAGCAACAGAUACUAACUUCUCCCCUGGUUUCUUGUCCUUGUUUCUGUAUGCAAUAAUUGAAAGCCAAGCUAACACAGCCCUGAAAUUUGAAAAUUUAAGUUAUUCCAAUUGGGAUUUGAUGGUGUUUGGCAACAGAAGAAAUAAGGAUAUGCUAAACUGAAAAUAAAGGAGGAAAAGGAGGAGCCACGUAAAUGAUAUCCAUCCUUUACAAAUGAAAAUGACCAGUUGCUUCUACCAUGCACCUAGUAAAAGUAUGAAAGAACUCAGAGGGAACAUAACCAACAUUAAAGCUAACCACGUAUUGAUGUGCUAAAACACAACUUGACUAUGAUGAGGUUUUUGAUAAUCCAACAUGGAAAUUAUAUCCAUGCUAUUUGUGUUGUUGAGGUCUAUUUGUGUAGAUGAUUAUCUAAAAAGAAGGGCCUGUAUUUGAAUUUGACAUUAUAUUGGUGUUUUAUGAUUGUUCACUUGAAACACAAUCCAAAUCCACCUUCAUUUUAAAUGCACAUCAAUCCAGAUGAAUUCUUAUAAAAAUUUCAAACAUGCAAUCAAAACAAACACUGUGUUUUGUGACUUGAACUUUCAUUAUAAGGUCAAGCAACUGAUAGGAAUAAAUUAUAGUCAGUUGCAUAAGCAUAGAACAUCUACUUCAUCCACAACCUUCUCUUUGAUGGAAGAGAAAAACCAACGUAAUAUUGUGGGCCUCCCACCCUACUAAUUGGUCCCAACUCCCAAGACAAAGUUCAACGCAUAAUGGCAGAUUGGCAGCCUCUAUUGCCGUGAAAUAGGAAAUUUGUGACAAUUGAUCAAUGGUAAUAAACCCCGACCCCCCUCUAAAAAAUAAAUAAAUAUAACCACAGACCUUUACAAAAUCAUAUAUCAUAAAUAGCCAAUCCCAAGUUUCUGGGAUGUGUGAUAAGACUUGCAUGGUGUGAUUCUCAUUCUCAUGUUUAUAUACAAGUUCUCGUCAUAAUUUAUGAGGUAUACCAUUGCUAUUUAAACAUUUUUGUGCAUGCAUAACAAAUUUAAGAUGCUUGGAUAGAUGCCAGGCCCAAAGUUGCAUAGCCAGCCUCAAGUAGGGAAUUCUGCUGAGUUAACGAGCAAUAAUAUGUAGAUAAGAACUAAGAAGCGUCAGUGUCAAUAUACGUGGAUGAUUUUUUCUACCAAUAUAAAUGCCAUAGUCAGUUACCAUAUGCCAUCCUUCUCACGAAUGUGAUCAGAACCAGUUCCAAAACUCUCUUCCCCGCAAAUAGACAACUUUCCAUCAUCCAUAAGAUUGCCAAAAAAUUUCCAACCCGUGGGGACCUCAAAAAAAGGAAGAUUCAAUUUUUCAGCCACACGAUCCAGCGCACCACUUGUUGGCAUGGACCGCGCUAAGCCCUUAGCGCCACUCUUGAAGUACGGAAUGGCUCCUUGUGAAUUGGCAGCAAUGAUUGCCACAGAAUCUGAAGGAGUAACAAAAAACCCUCUACCCAGGAUCAUGUUUCUGUCACCAUCGCCAUCACUUGCAGCUCCAAAAUCAGGCCCAUUCUCACUAUACAUAAUUUUCACCAAAUCCUUGGCAUAUGUAAGAUUAGGAUCUGGAUGACCAAGCCCAAAAUCCUCCAGGGGCACUCCAUUUGAAAUUGAGUCUGGACUGGCUCCCAGCUUGUCCACGAAGAUGGGCUUUGCAUAAGCACCAGUGACCGCAUGCAUGGCAUCAAAAAUAAACCUGAAAUCUGGCCGUGAAAGAAGACUUCUGAUGAGCUCAAAAUUAAAUACAUGCUCCACUAGCUCUAAGUAGUCAGAAACUGGGUCCACUACUUCAACAAUGAAGUUUCCAUAUUUUGUAAAUCCAGGAUGAGAAAGAUCAACAUCAGGAAUGUCUGCUAUUUUAAUCUUCGAGAUAGAAAGUGUAUUUCCAUAAAUCUUGUCAGUGAUAGAUUCAGGUGCAGGUUGCCCACUGUUGUAAUUAAACUUUAUCCCCCAAUCAUAUUCAGGGCCCCCAGGAUUAUGGCUUGCGCUCAUUAUAAAACCACCAUUGGCCUUCCUCUUUCGGAUCACUGCAGAAACAGCUGGGGUAGACAUAACACCUUCCUUGCCAACCAGGAUUUUACCAACACCAUUCCCUGCUGCAAUUUUAAUGAUUAUCUGUGAAGCUUCUUUGUUGAAGUAACGACCGUCCCCUCCUAAGACCAACAAACCAUUCUUGUAAUCCUCAGAUGGUAAUGAAUUAAACAAUGCCUGGAUCCAAUUCGCAAGAUAAUUUUCUUGCAUGAAAACUUUAACCUUUUUUCGAAGACCACUAGUCCCUGUCUUCUGGCCCUCGAUCGGCUUCGUUGGCACUGAAUUAAUCUUGAUGCCUUCAGGUUCGGCGAUGGCGGUGGAAGAGGAAGAAGAUGAAACUUUGACGGAGAGAGAGUGAGUUAGUGAAGUUUUCAAAAGAGAAAAUUUUGGAGAGACGAGAGGAGAAGAGGAAAGCAGAGAAAAUGAUGAGAUUGGAGGAGAAAGGACGCUCCCAUUUCCAUUUCCAUUAUUCGAAUGCUUAAACUUGGAGAUGGCGUGAGAGAAGACGUUUUCUACUCUCAAACAAGAAGAGAACACCAUUGUUACGGUUAAGGAUAUCUUCAGUGACGAUGAUCGCUAUAGCUUUGCUCGCUCGCUCUCUCUCCAUAUAUGCAUUAGUGAGAGAGUGAGAGAGAGAGAGAAGACCUCAAGACUGAAAGAACGGAGCCAAAAUCCAGCUUGU